CCUACGGGUGGCUGCAGUGGGGAAUAUUGGACAAUGGGGGGAACCCUGAUCCAGCCAUGCCGCGUGUGUGAAGAAGGCCCUCGGGUUGUAAAGCACUUUCAGUGAGGAAGAACGCCUGGUGGUUAAUACCCAUCAGGAAAGACAUCACUCACAGAAGAAGCACCGGCUAACUCCGUGCCAGCAGCCGCGGUAAUACGGAGGGUGCGAGCGUUAAUCGGAAUUACUGGGCGUAAAGCGCGCGUAGGUGGCUUGAUAAGCCGGUUGUGAAAGCCCCGGGCUCAACCUGGGAACGGCAUCCGGAACUGUCAAGCUAGAGUGCAGGAGAGGAAGGUAGAAUUCCCGGUGUAGCGGUGAAAUGCGUAGAGAUCGGGAGGAAUAACAGUGGCGAAGGCGGCCUUCUGGACUGACACUGACACUGAGGUGCGAAAGCGUGGGUAGCAAACAGGAAUAGAUACCCUAGUAGUC
rnacentral:rRNA from 1 species